rnacentral:tRNA from 1 species
GGGUCGUUAGCUCAGUUGGUAGAGCAGUUGACUUUUAAUCAAUUGGUCGCAGGUUCGAAUCCUGCACGACCNC